rnacentral:tRNA from 1 species
UAGUUUAAAGCUUAUAUAGUUAAGCAUUUCAUUUACACUGAAAAGAUUUUUGUGCAAUUCAAUUUAAACUAA